rnacentral:rRNA from 1 species
UUACUUUCUAGUAGCGAAGCUAACGCGUUAAGUUCUCCGCCUGGGGAGUACGGCCGCAAGGUUAAAACUCAAAGAAAUUGACGGGGGCCCGCACAAGCGGUGGAGCAUGUGGUUUAAUUCGAUGCAACACGAAAAACCUUACCUACCCUUGACAUCCUCGGAAUUUGUCAGAAAUGACUUGGUGCCUUCGGGAACCGAGUGACAGGUGCUGCAUGGCUGUCGUCAGCUCGUGUCGUGAGAUGUUGGGUUAAGUCCCGUAACGAGCGCAACCCUUGUCCUUAGUUGCCAGCGGAAUCUGCCGGGAACUUUAAGGAGACUGCCGGUAAUAAACCGGAGGAAGGCGGGGAUGACGUCAAGUCAUCAUGGCCCUUACGGGUAGGGCUACACACGUGCUACAAUGGGCAGUACAAAGGGUUGCCAAACCGCGAGGUGGAGCUAAUCCCAAAAAGCUGCUCUCAGUCCGGAUUGGAGUCUGCAACUCGACUCCAUGAAGCUGGAAUCGCUAGUAAUCGCGAAUCAGAAUGUCGCGGUGAAUACGUUCUCGGGCCUUGUACACACCGCCCGUCACACCAUGGGAGU